rnacentral:rRNA from 1 species
CCCUUAGAUGUUCUGGGCUGCACGCGCGCUACACUGACACACUCAGCGAGUCUCCUGGCCCGAGAGGGUUGGGUAAUCAUGUGAGCGUGUGUCGUGAUGGGGAUAGAAUAUUGUAAUUAUUGCUCUUCAACGAGGAAUUCCUAGUAAACGCAAGUCAUCAACUUGCAUUGAUUACGUCCCUGCCCUUUGUACACACCGCCCGUCGCACCUACCGAUUGAAUGGUCCGGUGAAGCCUCCGGAUUGGCGCGCACCUCGGUGCCGCCGAGAAGUUGGCUAAACCUUACCAUUUAGAGGAAGGUGAAGUCGUAACA